AUUUUGUUCAAGGAGGAGGUAAUUCCAACAGAGUGUUAUUGUUCAAGAAUGAGGCUCCGCUGUCCUGUCCAGCAGAGGCAGAGGAACAUUUAUUUCUAAUUCAUUUCCUUCAGCCACAAACACAAACUUUGCAAGAUUGUGAAGGAGACUUGGGUACGGGCUGGACGGUGUGUUAGGGAUUUCACUCUCUACAUUGGCUCCCUUGGGACAGCAUUCUUACUUUUCAAAGCAUACGAAGUCACCAAGAAAAAGAAUGAUCUCAAUCUCUGCAUUGAAAUUGUGAGGGCCUGUGAUACUGCUUCACGAGUAUCAGGACAUGUGACAUUCAUCUGUGGUCGGGCUGGUGUGUGCACCCUUGGUGCCGUGGCUGCAAAGAACGCUGGGGAUCAUGCACUGCUCAACCACUACCUAUCCUAGUUCAAAGCGGUAAUGCUUUGAAAAGUUGUUGGCUAGAAAGUUCGUAAUGGUAGCCUUCUCGAGCCGAAAAAGAUAUUUAUGCGAUAGUAAACCAUUGUUUCUUUGUUUGGAAUUCUAAAUGCUUAUUGGUUACCCUUGUAACUCUUGUGUACUAUCCAUUUUUUGUUCCUCGUUAGAUGUACUACCUCAUUUGGCCAUCACUUCUCUUGGGGGUUUCUGGACUGUGUAUGAAUUGCCACUUCAUAGGGUAUGGUCGUGAAGGAAAUCAUCAAGGAUGGAAUACGAUUAGCCAACAAGGGUAGUUGCCCAUUGAUGUACGUAGCAUUUAUUUUGGUCCAAUAAAGUCAAUUCAUCAGAAUCCUUUGGGUUGUUUUUCUGAAUCUUCAUCUUUGUCUCAUCAAUGCCUCUUCUAUUUAUAUUCCUUUUUUUUUAAAAAAUUUAAUUUUUCUGUCCUUCCAAUUUCGUCCUUGGUAUUUAUUUAAUUUCUUUUCUAUGGAAUUUUUUGAUGUUGGUUUUCUUUUCUUCUCUUUUCCAUCUUUGUGUCUAUAUUUCUCAGUUUAUCUUAUAUGGAGGCUUUCUCAAACAUAUGUUGAGUUGCUGGAAAUCCAAAACUCAAUGAUGGUGGAAGAGCACGUUGUCUCAUGUGAAGCUCCAAUCCAAAAUGAGUAAGUUGCAGGACAGUCCACAAAGUGAGUGAGGUUAUGAGAAGCUAUCACCAGACUAUCAUACUAUCAUAUCCAUCUGAUUUAUGGGCUGCAUAUAGGUGGUUAUACCAAUGACCCUAUAAAAAUAGAGAUCUGAAAAUACCCAAGAAUUCUUUUAUUAGAGACGUUUUGAAAUAGUGAUCGCUCAGUGGUCAUCAAGGACUGGAUAAAGCUCCACAGGUAAAAUCUGGAUCUUCUUCGAUUGUUUCGUUUGUUUCUUUUAACUAUUUAACCAUGCAUUGUUGAAUUCUUCCAAUGGGGUUAGAGGCCUUAUAGUCAAUCCUUGGUGUGGCAUGUGGGUGUGUUUAACUUAGAUGUAAAUAUUAUCAAGUAAUUCAAAAUGAGCAGAAGUAGGCAUAACCUGUUUUUCCAUAGGGUCGCCCAGACGCUUGAAAAUGGUGUUUUGUUGUUAUAGGUUGGCCUCAAGUACAAUGAGUCAGUAGUAAUAGUGGUAACUGGAUGCCCCAAUGAUUGUGCCAGGCCUUAUAUGGCUGAGCUUGGACUGGUUGGCAAUGGACCCAACAGAUAAUGGGUAUUUCACAUGCUGAUUUUUUCAGAAACUAUGGAUCAAUGUUUGGGUUAUAAAGAAGUGUUCUGUAGCAGACAUCAGAGUGCAGCAUGUGACAAUUACCACUGU